GAUGAACGCUGGCGGCGUGCCUAAUACAUGCAAGUCGAGCGAACACACGAGGAGCUUGCUCCUCUGACGUUAUCGGCGGACGGGUGAUUAACACGUGGACAACCUACCUAUAAGACUGGGAUAACUUCGGGAAACCGUAGCUAAUACCCGAUAAUAUAUUGAACCGCAUUGUUCAAUAGUGAAAGUCGGUUUUGCUGUCACUUAUAGCUUGCUCAGGCCCGCAUUAGUUAGUGGGUGAGGUCACUGCUUACCCACGCAACGAUGCGUAGCCGACCUGAAAGGGAGGACGGACACAUGGGAAGUGAGGAAGGGCCCACACACCGGCGCGGGGAAGCGGUAGAGACUCCUACGCGAUGCGGGAGAGCCUGACAGAGGACCGCCGGGUGAGUGAUGAAGGUGUUCGGACCGUAAAGCUAUGUUAUUAGGGGAGAAGAAAUGUGUAAGUACCUGUGCUGGUCUUGACGGUACCGAAAGAGAAAGCCACGGCUAACUACGUG
rnacentral:rRNA from 1 species